rnacentral:precursor_RNA from 13 species
CCACGUUCAGCCCUACUGUGUGCAGUGCACUACUUGGAAAGGUGCCAUUCAAUAAAUUACAUUAUGAAGUGCGCCUUCCUGAGUAGAGUAACGCUCUACAAGUUCAACUUUUUUGAC